CAGAGGCUAAAUGCAGACCCAUUGUUUAUUUUUGUUGUGACCUUGGUUUUUGCACUUACAAAGUCAGUUUAUAACAUUGCCCAGAUAGAGAAUAAAGUUAAAAAGUGAAAGCUACAUAAAAGUCCUUAACACUCUGCCUGGCACAUAGUAAGCCCUCACUGAAUGGCAUCCUUGUAUUAUAAACGUUAUUUUAAGUUGACGUUGUUUCCAGGACAGGACACGGAGAUCUUCGGGGAAGGCAGAGCUGGCUGAUGAACCCUACCCAGUGUCCUGAUUAAUGCAUUACAGGGAAUCUUGAAGGAAGUCAAGGGAAAUGAACAUUUGAGAACCUUUGUUCACAGUCUGCAGCAAAAUCAUGUGAGCAUGGUGAGACACAUGUCACAGCCUCCCAUUUUACAGAAGAGGAAAACUGAGACUAGAAAAAAUAUUCCUGGGAGAGAGCUCUAAGAUGUCAGCAGUGGCAAUAAUGUUGGAACAAGCACAUUGCCUGACUGGCGAUUAGUCUGACGUGGAUGACAAGCAGAUCAUUGGACACUGACUCACACAGGUGGAUUGCAACUCCUGAUAUGUUUUGUUGGCUAGUACAGUU
rnacentral:lncRNA from 10 species